GUCUUUUUGUUAUGAUAGAAAGUCUGGCCUGCCCACUGAUUAAUUGAAUGGCUGCAGUAUUUUGACUGUACAAAGGUAGCAUAAUCAUUAGUUUUUUAAUUGAAAGCUGGUAUGAAGGGUUGGAUGAAAAAAUUAUUGUCUCAAUUUAAUAUUUUGAAAUUUAUUUUUGAGUAAAAAAGCUUAAUUAUUUGUUAAAGACGAGAAGACCCUAUAGAGUUUAAUGUUUGUAAUUUUUUUUUAUGUGUAGAAUUUAUUUAUAGAUAAAUUUAUAACAUUUGGUUGGGGUGAUUAUAAGAUAAAAGAAACUCUUAUUUUUUUUACAGUGAUUAUUGGUUUUUUGAUCCAUUUAUUAUGAUUAAAAGAUUAAAUUACCUUAGGGAUAACAGCGUAAUUUUUUUUGAGAGUUCUGAUCGAUAAGAAAGUUUGCGACCUCGAUGUUGGAUUAAAAUUUUACUUAGGUGUAGGAGCUUGAGUUUUAAGUCUGUUCGACUUUUAAAAUUUUACA
rnacentral:rRNA from 1 species